CCAAUCCGAAAUAAGCAGGAAAUUCAAAGACCUAUUAAAGGCUAAAGACAAUUAAACGUGAAAAUCAGCUACUAAUCAGCGAGUGUUUAACAUCAGCAGUAGCAAAAUCAACUCUAUUCAAUAGCAUGUGAAAAAGCUCUGGAAGAAAGCGAAUGAUCUGGAACAUAGAUCGAAGGUGAACGAUACGACCCGGUUGAUUCAAUGGGUAGCAUACACAAAAUGGCAGAAAUGACAAUACCAGAAUACUUCGUAAUCAAACAUCACAUUCAACUUCACACCAUGCUGAAUAGUGGUGAUAAGCAAAUGACUGUUUUGAUUUUGAGUAUUUCUUCUUUUUAAAAACAAAUUUCUUAGCUCUUGUGAUUUGUGAUUCUUUCUUUGUUCGCUGCUUGGUGGGGUUGCUCUGGCCUUUUUUUCUUUUUGAAAUGGAAGGCAUUAGGUUCUCAUUGUUAGAGAGUUGCUGGGUACUUUUUGUGUGUGAUUUUGAGAAAUCCAGAAGAAGAAGAAGGGAGCUGGAGGGUGCAUCGUUUGCUCCCUCUUUUUAGAGGAGAAACUCUUUUUUUUUAUU
rnacentral:lncRNA from 1 species